UGCCCCAUGGCUGAGUUGGUUACAGCGUCCGACUGUUAUCCGCGUCUAGCAGAAACCAUAUCGGAAGGUCGUGAGUUCGAGCCUCACUGGGGCAG